rnacentral:rRNA from 1 species
AUAGCUCGAACCGAUGGCAUCAGUAUACCCGAUGGUAAGUUCUACCUAGGAGAUUUUGGAUAUGCAUGUUGGCCUGGUGUUUUUUCACCCUUCAGUAAAACUAGUUACCAUCUGAACGAGUUCUCUUCUAGAAACUAUCCUAAGACUUCACAUGAAUUGUUCAAUCUUAGACACUCUAGCCUUAGAGUUAGGGUUGAGAGGGCAUUUGGAGCUCUGAAAAACAGAUUUAAGAUUCCGGAUCAUAAGUCAUUCCCAUUCCUCACAGAGGUUAGGCUUGCUCUUGCAUGUUGCAUUCUCCAUAAUUGAAUCCUAGAAUAUGGUUGUAAAGAGUUUGUGCCGUACUAGGACGAUGUGAUGGCUGAUGAUGUUGAUACCUUUUUGUACCUAUAA